rnacentral:tRNA from 1 species
GGGGGUAUAGCUCAGCUGGGAGAGCGCUACACUGGCAGUGUAGAGGUCACGGGUUCAAAUCCCGUUACCUCCA